rnacentral:lncRNA from 1 species
GACCAGGAACCCUCAAGAAGAGAUGUUAUUUGGAAUAGAAGGUAAAGGAAGGGGUUCACCUUGCCCCUGAGCUCAGAGCUACACCAAACCUACUGUAAGACAGUGGAAUUCAGACAUCACAGCAGUGGGAUGGUCAUCAUUGUCUCUAAGUCACUACCCCAAGAAGCCCCUUGACAAUGUGCCCGGUUGGUGAGAGGAUUCUCUGAAUGAUGUCUGCACACUGACUUUCUCCUAAACGUAGAAUCACUGUCACUGACAAAUGCAGACUGGAGCUGGGGUGUGGUGCUGGAAACUGAAAUACCUGGAAAGCAAUGCUGUUUGUAAUCAGAUUGUCCAGCCUGGAGAACGG